ensembl:snoRNA
GCCCAGGUUAUGUCCCCUCGAUGAUGCUGCCCUCCCAGCUGGCCCAUGGAUGACCCUGGGAACAUUACUGCCUCACAAUGUUUGUGCCUCAGUUACCCAUCGAUGUAGUGAGGGGAGCGAUACUUAGGCUCAUGGGUGGUAAGGAACAGCG